GAGGGUAUAGCUCAGUGGUAGAGCACAUGCUUAGCAUGCACAAGGUCCUGGGUUCAAUCCCCAGUACCACCA
rnacentral:tRNA from 1 species